rnacentral:rRNA from 1 species
CCAAUAGCGUAUAUUAAAGUUGUUGCAGUUAAAAAGCUCGUAGUUGAAUUUCGGGAUUAGUACGUUGGUCGUGCCUUCGGUACGUACUGGUGUUACUGAUUCCUACCUUCUGACGAACCAUCAUGUCAUUAAUUUGGUGUGGCGGGGAAUCAGGACUGUUACUUUGAAAAAAUUAGAGUGUUUAAAGCAAGCUAACGCUUGAAUACAUUAGCAUGGAAUAAUGAAAUAGGACGUUCGAUCCUAUUUUGUUGGUUUCUAGGAUUGACGUAAUGAUUAAUAGGGAUAGUUGGGGGCAUUAGUAUUCAAUUGUCAGAGGUGAAAUUCUUGGAUUUAUUGAAGACUAACUACUGCGAAAGCAUUUGCCAAGGAUGUUUUCAUUAAUCAAGAACGAAAGUUAGGGGAUCGAAGACGAUCAGAUACCGUCGUAGUCUUAACCAUAAACUAUGCCGACUAGGAAUCAGACGAUGUUAAUUUUUUAAUGACUCGUUUGGCACCUUACG